GACGAACGCUGGCGGCGUGCUUAACACAUGCAAGUCGAACGGAAAGGCCCUGCUUUUGUUGGGGGCUCGAGUGGCGAACGUGUGAGUAACACGUGCGUAACCUGCCCGUGACUUUGGGAUAACUUCAGGAAACUGGGGCUAAUACCGGAUAGGCGCUCCUGCUGCAUGGUGGGGGUUGGAAAGUUUCGGCGGUUGGGGAUGGACUCGCGGCUUAUCAGCUUGUUGGUGGGGUAGUGGCUUACCAAGGCUUUGACGGGUAGCCGGCCUGAGAGGGUGACCGGCCACAUUGGGACUGAGAUACGGCCCAGACUCCUACGGGAGGCAGCAGUGGGGAAUAUUGCACAAUGGGCGGAAGCCUGAUGCAGCAACGCCGCGUGCGGGAUGACGGCCUUCGGGUUGUAAACCGCUUUCGCCUGUGACGAAGCGUGAGUGACGGUAAUGGGAAAAGAAGCACCGGCUAACUACGUG
rnacentral:rRNA from 1 species